GGGUCAGUAGGUUGGUCGUGCCACCGGUACGUACUGGUCUCACUGAUUCCUCCUUCCUGAAGAACCGUAAUGCCAUUAAUAUGGUGUUGCGGGGAAACAGGACUGUUACUUUGAAAAAAUUAGAGUGUUUAAAGCAAGCUAACGCUUGAAUACAUUAGCAUGGAAUAAUGAAAUAGGACGAUCGAUCCUAUUUUGUUGGUACCUAGGAUUGACGUA
rnacentral:rRNA from 1 species